rnacentral:rRNA from 1 species
AUUGAACGCUGGCGGAAUGCUUUACACAUGCAAGUCGAACGGUAGAGGGGGCAACCCCUCGAGAGUGGCGAACGGGUGAGUAAUAUAUCGGAACGUGCCUAGUCGUGGGGGAUAACGGAGCGAAAGUUACGCUAAUAUCUCAUACGAUCUACGGACGAACGCGGGGGAUCGCCAGACCUCGUGCGAUUGGAGCGGCCGAUAUCAGAUCAGGUAGUUGGUGGGGUAAAGGCUCACCAAGCCAACGAUCUGUAGCUGGUUGGAGAAGACGAACAGCCACACUGGAACUGAGACACGGUUCAGACUCCUACGGGAGGAAGCAGUGGGAAAUUUUGGACAAUGGACGCAAGUCUGAUCCAUCCAUUCCGCGUGCAGGAUGAAGGCCCUCGGGUUGUAAACUGCUUUUGUACGGAACGAAAAGGUUUCCAUUAAUACUGGGAGCUCAUGACGGUACCGUAAGAAUAAGCACCGGCUAACUACGUGCCAGCCGCCGCCGUAA